rnacentral:rRNA from 1 species
UACGUAGGGUGCGAGCGUUGUCCGGAAUUAUUGGGCGUAAAGCGCACGUAGGCGGCUCCGUAAGUCGGAUGUGAAAUCCCUCGGCUUAACCAAGGAAGUGCAUCCGAAACUGCAAGGCUUGAGUACUUAAGAGGAUCGCGGAAUUCCCGGUGUAGAGGUGAAAUUCGUAGAUAUCGGGAAGGAACACCAGUGGCGAAGGCGGCGAUCUGGGAAGAUACUGACGCUGAGGUGCGAAAGCGUGGGGAGCAAACAGG